rnacentral:rRNA from 1 species
AACAACCUUAAAAUUCUCUUUCGGAAUGUCCGCGGUCUAAAUUUCGGUGCUAAGCGUAUGGCUGUCCGCAGCGUGAUCUUCGCUGCCGCCCCUACCAUCGUGUGUCUACAAGAGACCAAGCUCACUCACAUCUCGGACUCCACCGUCCUUGACACUCUCGGCCUCCUAUUCGAGGAUUUCUACUUCCUCCCGGCCACCGGCACUCGCGAAGGCGUGCUCCUCGCGUCGCAUGGCGUAGAUCCCAUGUCUCCCCCUCAAACCCACUGA